AGAAAAGCAUAGAAGAGGAUAAGGCAAUUUGGCUUUUUUAUUGCAGAGAGGGAUAUAAGGGUGAAAGUAUCCUAUAAAAACGAAUUGUUACCACCUCGGAGCUGAUAUUCUGAAAUUAGUAAGAAUAUCCGGUAGCACCGUUAUCGCACUAGAGAUAUCGGCAACGAUAAACUAGGGUGGAACCACGUGAGCAAGCUCUCGUCCCUUGG
rnacentral:ncRNA from 1 species